rnacentral:rRNA from 1 species
UACGGAGGGUGCUAGCGUUGUUCGGAAUUACUGGGCGUAAAGGGCUCGUAGGCGGCCAACUAAGUCGGAUGUGAAAUCCCCAAGCUUAACUUGGGAACUGCAUCCGAUACUGGAUGGCUUGAAUCCGGGAGAGGGAUGCAGAAUUCCAGGUGUAGCGGUGAAAUGCGUAGAUAUCUGGAGGAAUACCGGUGGCGAAGGCGGCAUCCUGGACCGGCAUUGACGCUGAGGAGCGAAAGCUAGGGGAGCAAACGGG